GUGGGGACUCGGAGAUGGUCGACAGAUGUGGCGAGUAUCGUGACAGCGGCGAAUGGAGCGGUCUACGCGAAUAACUUCAUGAAAUUCUGGUUGCUAGGCAACGUGGAUGCUUCUCUGGCAGUUUUUCUUUGAUAAGUCAAAUACGAAGAAAGUAUGCUAAGCUGGUAAAAAUAAUUUUUAUCGUAAGGAAGGUUGACUAAAAAAUAACAAAUCGUCGUUUGGACAGUUACAUAAUGUUUAAGAAGACUCAGCAAUUUUUGUGUCGCGUAAUUGCUUCGAACCUGACCUGAUAAGCUUCCCAUUGCAUGGUCUCAAUACCAGAAGCUUCUUCUCGCGAUGCAUUACAUUGCAGGGAUGGAAAGCGUAUCGUGAACACUUGUUACGCGCAUUGCCUCUGAAUUUGGCUUCGGCCAUGGCCACGACUGAUUGACAGAUUUCGAUUCAUGAAUCAGUUGUACGCAUUUGAACAGUUACACGAUGACAAACAAGUAGUAAUUGAGCGCACAUAUGGUUCUACUGACCAAUAUUAAUCACGAAAGGCGAUUGAAACUUCUCGUCAGGUUUUUCACUUGUCAUUCCUCUACAAAUUUUGAGCUAUUGUCUUUGGUAUUACAUAUUUUAUUUAGAUAAAUAAUUUUUCAAUUAUAUUUUCUGAUUAUUUUUACAUUUAUCUAAAUAAUUUUCUAUUUAAAAAAUAUGCUGUACGUGAGAUAUUGAUUUAAAUUGUUUAAUAUUGUCUUUGUUGCAUUAAUUUUGUAAGUUGCUCAAAAAAUUCAAGAGGGAAAAAAUCUCUCUUAAUUAUUGUUUUAUAACUAAAAAUUCUAUUUACUAAUCCCCGGUAUAUAGCAUUAAUCGUUACUUAUAAUGAUUUUCCAUUUAUGUAAGAAAAAUAAUUUUAUUCUUUGCACAUCAUUAACAUAUGUUUAUAUUAAACCUUUCAGUGCUAUAAAAAAGAUAACGUAAUUGCGGAUUUUACUAGAGGAUUUUUUGGCAAUGCAACGAGUGCGACGGAGUUUUAUCACGUGGAAACUACACGUCCAGACACUUGGCUAUUUUUAAAAGCUAAUAUUCUCGAUGAGCCCGCUAUUGCUCCUGAUCCUUUUGAUUUACUCCAAUCCGCGAACUAAUCAAUUAAUCGCCAUAUCGCGUUUUACCAAUAACUUUGAGAUUUGACGGAUCGUCUGUCGUAUUUAUCGUUUGCCAAAAUUCCGAAUAACAUUCUAACAGAGUUUUCUAAUUGCAGAGUAUCGUGUGCGUACAAUUUCACGUCUGCUGCACCAGCAUGUUCCGAUCUAUGGAAUUUUCUUUUCAUUUUCCAUUGGCUGACUCAAAGGAAAAUUGGGAAAUGCGCUUGCUAUUUUGGUUAGCUCCUUUAUUGCUCCUCGCGCAUUCACGUAACUAACCACCAGAGAAGCCUCCGCGACGACGAACGUCACUCCGCGACCAAGAAUAAUGGUCUGCGAAGGAAAAGCGAGGAAAGAAAGCGAAGAAAGGAACCGCUUCGUGGAACGCUAUUUUCGCUUGGAUUAGAUGGACGAUCGGGUCAAACGGGACGAACAAGUGCAAUAAUCAAACUCGAAGUGUAUGUUUGCCAGAGGAUGAUAUAAAAUAACUGAUAUUCCGAGAAGUCCUUUGUUCGAAAAAGAAAAAUCUCUUUAAUCGUAGUGUAAAAAACGAUGAACUAAACAAAGCGCCCAAUGAGAAAUAGUAUACGUAUACUUGUAAGACAUGAUAACGAGAAAUUGUGUCUGUCAUGUCAUUUUAUUUAGACGUAAAAGAAGAAAAAUUGAUACAAUGAAGAACACAUGUUGCGAAGAGGAACUAAAGACGGCGAUGAAACUCAAAUGUAAACAGCGUGUUCGCUAAGAUAGAGUGGAAAAGAGAAAAAUUCAAAAUUUGUAAAAAAGAAAACUGUAUCGCGAUGAAAUGCAAAGAAUAUCUCUGGCAGCAAAACAAAUUACCAAAAAAUCAAUCGAGGCAUUUUUUGCAUGAAAAUAAAGAAAUACAGUAUACAGGGUAUCUUAGGAGGGCUAAGAGGAAAGGAAACUAAUUGGAUGAAGAAAAAGCUUACCGUGGAGCACCGGUCAUCAAUGAACUGUGAUUAGAGAAAGGUCCCCCAUAGUAAUAGGACAAACUGUCUCCGUAGUAGGGCAUCGUGGCGAUGAUUAUCCAAUAGAUUUACGCGUACAGUUGUCGAAGGGCUGGAAUUCGAAGAGGAAAUCGCGAACAGCGAGCACGAGCGGUUCGACGCUCUCGAAGACGACUGAGUGCGGCACGAAUCGCCGGCGAACGCGUUCUCAGGUGUUCGACGAGCCGUUCUCACGGUUCAGGGAGCCAACACCGACUGAGUCUAAGCCAGCGACCCAGUGUAAUAAUAGAAGUCUAGUAUAUGUGGCUUCCUAGCGUCUAACUAUACUAGCUGGACUGUAAUAACCCGUACAACGUCUCAUUGCUUUUCUACAAAUAUUUUCCGUAUUGUAGCGUUUACGUGACUCAUUGUCAGGACUAGAAUUGAAUCAUACGAACCUAUUGUCAAACCUGAUGUAACAAGCUUUUUCUCACGCGUUCCUAUGGUGUUACCGUUGGUGAACACCGCGAAGCAUUUUACUAACGUAAAGAGACACGAAAAUGGUAAAAAAGGCCGAUUAUUAUUUUUUUAUAAUCGAACACGAUAAUACGAAUUUUUUUAAUUUUAACAACGAACGUUUCCGUUUCAGAAAAUUGACAAGGACUCGACAUAACAUCAGGAAAUGUUGACAGAAAUUUUGGUAAAACGUAUAUUGGUUAAAAUCACUCCUCACUAUCAUGCUGUUAAAAACACAACAACAACAUUGAUGAAAGUCGUGAAGAAUACCGAAAGACGCGCAAUCAUGCAUCGUGAGACUCGCGGUAUAACAUGCACAUCAAAUUGCCAGGCGACGAAUUUCGUGUCGUUGUCUCUGCAGCCGUAUAAAACGCGCAUUAAUGUGUCAGCGGAGCCACGGUUUCGCGUUGUUUUGUAUUCGACCAUCGAGACCCGCGCCAAAUGUUUCUUUCCUGGGUGCCUAUUGUUACUUGUUCAGGGAAACUUAGAAAUAGCCAACGAAUGGCAACGAAUUCUAUUUCAAGUGAAUUCUACAACUAACUUUAGUUUCAAAAUUUACUUUAAAAGUUAAAUUUUACAGAACUUGUGAUACAAAUUUAAAUUGCUAUCAUGGUGAAACUUAAACUUAAGGUGCAUCAAGGUGAAAAGGAUAUACAUAUAUACAAGAUGAUUGUUUUCAUGAAAAUUCUUUGGCUUAAAUCUUACUUACCGUCGCACCUGA